UGCGCAGGUGCGAAAGCCAUCUUUGGUUAUAUAAGGGAGGUUCAGGAAGCCAUUCGUUCUUUCGCGUCUGCGGUGCCCGGAGUGUGGUACUUCUCCUAGUUGCAGUCAGGCUUCAUACGCUAUUGUCCUGCCCGUUAGAGCAGCCAGCGGGUACAGAAUGGAUUUUGGAAGAGGGAGUCACCACUGGACCUCCAAGGAAGCCACGUGCAGACAUCUACAACCUUCGAUCUCCUGACGAGUUUAUUGUUGGCCAAAACCAGGCUUUGAUUGAACCAGGAUGAAUGCGGGUGUUGGAAGUAGAAUAUAUAUAUACAUAUAAAAUUGAAACUGGCGAUGGAAUAUGAGAGGAGCCCUCUGGAAAGAAAAGGACAGACCCUGUGCUUUCAUGAAAGUGAAGAUCUGGCUGAACCAGUUCCACAAGGUUACUGUAUACAUAGCCUGAGUUUAAAAGGCUGUGCCCACUUCAAGAAUGUCAUUGUUAGACUUUGAAAUUUCUAACUGCCUACCUGCAUAAAGAAAAUAAAAUCUUUUAAAUCAAAAUG
rnacentral:lncRNA from 1 species